UGGAGAAAAAGCUUGAUUUGCAACUUCUUAUUUUUACUUCGAGUUAAGAAAUUUCAACAUGAAAAAUACCCGGAAUCCCUUGGUGAUCAAAAACUGUAAAAGAAUUUCUUGAGAAAGUGAGUGUGUGAGGAGAUCCAAGACCUUGAAGGUGGCGGUUUUGUGAGGUUAGUGUAGCCGUUGUUGGUGAUUUUUGUUGCUUGGAAGCUUGUAUAUUGAUCUCUGGAAGCCUAGGAACCCAUUGGUGGUUGACUCUCUUUGAUCCAAUCUUGAAGGAUUAAGCUUCGGAAGCUUUUCUCUGUUGGUUUGUGAACUUGGUUGUGGAACUUUUUACAGGUACAACAAGUGCUGCUGGAGAAGCCUUGGGUAAGAAGCUCAUCUAGUGUGGAUACGAGCAUAUGGAGUAUUUUGACAUGUACACAGGAGUGCAUGAGGAUUAUAUGACAUUUUGAGAUAUUAUUUUGAUGCACUUGAUAGUUGUCUAUUUUGUAUCAUUGACUUAGUGCAUGAACAUUAGUCUUGUAUGAGAUGUCGUGGACAUGUUAGAGUUGUUCAUGUUUUUGUUUCUAAGUCAUUUGAUUAAUAUGUUGAUUAUGUAAUAGUUCAAUUUGAUAGUUGAUGUAAUGUAAUUGUAUUA